GAUGAACGCUAGCGGCAGGCUUAACACAUGCAAGUCGAGGGGUAUGCCGAUUUAACGGCAGAGACCGGCGCACGGGUGCGUAACGCGUAUGCAAUCUGCCUUUCACAGAGGGAUAGCCCAGAGAAAUUUGGAUUAAUACCUCAUAGUAUAGUAAGUUGGCAUCAACCUGCUAUUAAAGUCACAACGGUGAAAGAUGAGCAUGCGUCCCAUUAGCUCGUUGGUAAGGUAACGGCUUACCAAGGCUACGAUGGGUAGGGGUCCUGAGAGGGAGAUCCCCCACACUGGUACUGAGACACGGACCAGACUCCUACGGGAGGCAGCAGUGAGGAAUAUUGGUCAAUGGGCGCAAGCCUGAACCAGCCAUGCCGCGUGCGGGAUGACGGUCCUAUGGAUUGUAAACUGCUUUUGUACGAGAAGAAACACUCCUACGUGUAGGGGCUUGACGGUAUCGUAAGAAUAAGGAUCGGCUAACUCCGUGCCAGCAGCCGCAGUAAUAC
rnacentral:rRNA from 1 species